CUACGGGAGGCAGCAGUGGGGAAUAUUGCACAAUGGGCGCAAGCCUGAUGCAGCCAUGCCGCGUGUGUGAAGAAGGCCUUCGGGUUGUAAAGCACUUUCAGCGGGGAGGAAGGCGUUAAGGUUAAUAACCUUGGCGAUUGACGUUACCCGCAGAAGAAGCACCGGCUAACUCCGUGCCAGCAGCCGCGGUAAUACGGAGGGUGCAAGCGUUAAUCGGAAUUACUGGGCGUAAAGCGCACGCAGG
rnacentral:rRNA from 1 species